UUUAUUACACAUCCGCCAGAAUUUCCCCCAUUUGGCCCCCCCCCUUUUUAGUAAAAAAAAAAAGGGUUACCUCGCAGACGAACGCUGGCGGCGUGCCUAAUACAUGCAAGUCGAACGCUUCUUUUUCCACCGGAGCUUGCUCCACCGGAAAAAGAAGAGUGGCGAACGGGUGAGUAACACGUGGGUAACCUGCCCAUCAGAAGGGGAUAACACUUGGAAACAGGUGCUAAUACCGUAUAACAAUCAAAACCGCAUGGUUUUGAUUUGAAAGGCGCUUUCGGGUGUCGCUGAUGGAUGGACCCGCGGUGCAUUAGCUAGUUGGUGAGGUAACGGCUCACCAAGGCCACGAUGCAUAGCCGACCUGAGAGGGUGAUCGGCCACAUUGGGACUGAGACACGGCCCAAACUCCUACGGGAGGCAGCAGUAGGGAAUCUUCGGCAAUGGACGAAAGUCUGACCGAGCAACGCCGCGUGAGUGAAGAAGGUUUUCGGAUCGUAAAACUCUGUUGUUAGAGAAGAACAAGGAUGAGAGUAACUGUUCAUCCCUUGACGGUAUCUAACCAGAAAGCCACGGCUAACUACGUGCCAGCAGCCGCGGUAAUACGUAGGUGGCAAGCGUUGUCCGGAUUUAUUGGGCGUAAAGCGAGCGCAGGCGGUUUCUUAAGUCUGAUGUGAAAGCCCCCGGCUCAACCGGGGAGGGUCAUUGGAAACUGGGAGACUUGAGUGCAGAAGAGGAGAGUGGAAUUCCAUGUGUAGCGGUGAAAUGCGUAGAUAUAUGGAGGAACACCAGUGGCGAAGGCGGCUCUCUGGUCUGUAACUGACGCUGAGGCUCGAAAGCGUGGGGAGCAAACAGGAUUAGAUACCCUGGUAGUCCACGCCGUAAACGAUGAGUGCUAAGUGUUGGAGGGUUUCCGCCCUUCAGUGCUGCAGCUAACGCAUAA
rnacentral:rRNA from 1 species